UUCACCUGUAGAAGGAGCAAGACAGAAAAGUGUUAUAGAUGCGUAAGAAUCAGGUGUGAACAUAGCGCUAUGUUGGAUACAACCCACAGUAAAAGUCACUUAGCGGUAUACAGUGGUACCUCAGUUUUUGAACAGCUUAGUUCAUGAACAAUUAGAACCUGAACAUUGCAAAACCGGAAGUAGGUGUUCCGGUUUUCGAACUUUUUUUGGAAGCCAAACAUGCUCUGUUUUGAGUCCCCCCCCCCAUGUUUCCUGUUGCGCUGCUAAUUUGUAUCCCCCCGUUUCCUGUUGCGCUGCUAAUUUGUCCCCCCCCCAUUGUAAUUCAAGCCUUCCGUGUCCAACUGCAGCGUUCUAAGGUGAUAUUUGGUGCUUUUGUUUUUGCUAUUUAUUUUGCAUGUUUUGUUUUGAGGCUUUUUCAGUUAAUUUGUUAUUGUGACUAUGUGGAUCCCAGUUCAGCUACUGAUUGAUUGACUGAUUGUGUGACUGUGGAAAUGGAUAAAAGCCUCCCAUCCAAACAAUGACUAUCAUCAGUGCAGUUCUUAAAGCAGUGAGGAUAGCUUUGCAGAUGUAGCGGAGAAACCCCAAUGGAACGUCAGCAGCCAAGGUGGAAGGAGCCUACUUUCUAGCACGAGGAACAGGAUUUAAGUACUGCAGACAUUGUUGCUGCUCAUCUUGAAUCUCUGUGCAAGACUUCUCCACAUUAAAGCAAAAUGAAGCACACCUAUGCACCACCAGCUUGCAGCAGCAAGGGAAUUACCCUUUGGCACCAGGGGAAAACAGGUGGGUAUUUUGAAAGAAGUGCAUUGCUGUCUGGAUGGAUGAGGCAGAUACUUCAGAGGCUUUAUUCUACAGCAGGGGUGGGGAACAUGUGGCCCUCCUGGUGUACUUUGACUCCAGUACCCACCAUCUCUUACCAUUAGCCAAGCCGGUUGGGACUAAGGACAACAACAACUGGAGGGCACCAGGUUCCCCAAUCCUGGUGUACAGCAAACCUCUCAAACCUUAACAUAAAAUGUGUGACACCCAUUGAGAUUAUCAGUGCCAACAAUCAAGGUCUAAGCAUUAUGGUCCGCCCAGACUAGUUUUACUUUGACCUUAGAAAGUGGCCUCUCUUUUAGCAGUAGCAGCUUUGAGAGCUCCACUUGAAUAGGCACUUGCUCUGGGAUCAGCAGUGUCUCUGUCCCAUACGUUAGCACUUCACUAGUACAGUGGUACCUUGGGUUACAGACGCUUCAGGUUACAGACGCUUCAGGUUACAGACUCCGCUAACCCAGAAAUAGUACCUCGGGUUAAGAACUUUGCUUCAGGAUGUGAACAGAAAUCAUGCUCCAGCGGCACGGUGGCAGUGGGAGGCCCCAUUAGUUAAAGUGGUGCUUCAGGUUAAGAACAGUUUCAGGUUAAGAACAGACCUCCAGAACGAAUUAAGUUCUUAACCCGAGGUACCACUGUAUUUUAGGAGCAGAGGCUGCAGUGCAGAAAGGACUCAGGUUCAGGGCACAGUAGGAGAGAAUAAUAAUUUUCACAAUCAAAAAUUUGAUGGGAGGAUUUUUCAGGGCUACUUCUCUCAUCAUAGAUCCAAGAACCAUCGAGCAGUAUUUAAAUAUGCUCAUCUUAUGGAGAUUCCUCAUUCCCCGAACCAUCCCCAUAUUCAUGUAUCCUGUGAAUCCCCAUUCUAAAAGUACUUAACACACACAGCAUAAUAUUCAGGAAAUCAUUACAGGCUUAUACCUUUGGCCCUGCUGAAUUGUGUCCCAUCCCCCCCUCGCCCUGAGAAAUGUCUGUCUUCCUUUGCUGAAAAAGGCCCCCCGCUUCCAACCUAAGCACAGAGCUGGCACUUCCCUAAGGCUGCCUAUGAGAAUCCCACUCUGCUUUUUAGAGCCCAACAUGGCUCUGCGGGACUAAAUGGCAAAGACUAUUUUAGCUUCUCUGAUAAGCAGGCAGAACUGAACACACAGGUAGAAAAUCCAUAGGGGAGGCAAGAGGCAUUUUUACUUAAUUGGUUCUGAGAGGAGAUGCACAUUUAAAAGCAGAGGGAAGUGUUCACUAGGUGGUCCUUCCUUACAAGCUUUUGAUAACAAGAUGGAUUGGAGACAGACAAAACCUAGCAGGAAAUCUCUUAAUGCAAUCAUGUGAACCAAAGUAGUACAAAGUGUUAUGGGCUGUUCUAUCUGGGUGUCUGUUGUUUUAAAAAACCUUUGAAGAGACAUUACUAUUACUCAAUCUAAGGGAGUUUUGACACUCCUACUUGACAAUGUUAUAAUGCAAUCAUGACCUAUCAUUCACCUAUUAUUCAUUCAUGAAUAAUUUAAGAGAUCUAUUCCUUGCUAUCAGUACCCCAAAGCUCAGCUCCCCAAAAGCAGCUAGACUUGGUGAAAACAUCUCAAGUCUGUCUUUGUUGAUGGUUUGGUUUUCACCUAGAUGAACUGCUAUUUGAUUUGGUAUGCUUUGGUUCCUUUUCUUUGGUACAUCUACUGAUUCCUGCUGCUACUUCUGCUAUUUUGCAUACCAGGCAUCAUUCUGUACAGUUCGGGUUAUUGUUUUUAUUAUCAUUUCCCUAUGAUAUGUUUGCUCUUUUUCUUUUGACUACCUUCUGCUUUUAUUUGUAUUGCUAUGUACAGAUAAAAAUGUUUGCCUGUCUUUGGAACGCUGAGAAGGGAUAACGGUCACUAACUAGAACCUCAGUUACAAAUUACACUGUCCAUUUUUUAUCUCCAAACUGUUUUCCCCUCCAAGUCUCAUUCUCCACAAUCUUCAGAAGGAUUCACCUACAGUCAGUGGCAGAGCUUCAUGCUCUGGCACUGGGGGCAUGGCUGGUGCUUGUCCCGGGGGUGUGGUGCACUGCCCGUGGGGCAUGGCGUGCUGCCUGCCGGGGUGUGGCACCCAACGCUGGGGGGGGAGGAGCCACGAUGGCACCCCACCGGGAUCGUGGUGCUGGGGGCGGUGCACUCCCCCUGCCCCACCUCUUUCUCCUACCAGUGCCUACAGUUUGUUGAAUAAAAUGUCCUCUCAAUCACUGUAGAAAACAGGGUAAUUUUUGAGAUGGUACUAGAUGCAGAAUGACUCCUAAAGAAAGUCUCACCAAAAAUGAAAACAGCACCAGAAAGUCAUUUUCCACCAAGGCAAAGACAGGAGACUAUUUCAGAACACAGUAUGCAUGUUGAAGGGAUGACAACAGUAUCUGGUAAGGUCUAAAGGUCCAGUCUCAGAUAUAGUCUUGGUUAAAACGAGGAACAAUUAUUCUGUGAUUUUUCUUAAAAAGACUCACAAGUGCUAUAGGAAUGCUGCC